rnacentral:rRNA from 6 species
GAAACAACUCUCAGCAACGGAUAUCUUG